UACGGAGGGAGCUAGCGUUGUUCGGAAUUACUGGGCGUAAAGCGCACGUAGGCGGCGACACAAGUCAGAGGUGAAAGCCCGGGGCUCAACCCCGGAACUGCCUUUGAAACUAGGUUGCUAGAAUCUUGGAGAGGUCAGUGGAAUUCCGAGUGUAGAGGUGAAAUUCGUAGAUAUUCGGAAGAACACCAGUGGCGAAGGCGACUGACUGGACAAGUAUUGACGCUGAGGUGCGAAAGCGUGGGGAGCAAACAGG
rnacentral:rRNA from 2 species